AUGACUCUUCGCGGUGGAUCACUCGGCUCGUGCGUCGAUGAAGAACGCAGCG
rnacentral:rRNA from 1 species